UUCUCUCUGCCACCCACACCACAGAAACACCUUGCACUUCACAUCACCCCUUCUCCCUCUUCUUUUCCUCUGCCUUCUCUUUACCAAAAGAGAAAUUCUGAAUCACUCUUCCCCUGUUGCAGAACCUAAACCUGAGGCCAAUUCAGGAUCUUCCCUCUCAGCUUCAACUCCUCCUUUUCCUCCAUCUCACUAAGUGGUACACCUGAAGCUCUUGGGUGGGAGGAUCUUAGCUAAUUAGAAAGAUAUAUAGAGAGCAGAAACCAGAUGGAGAUGCCCCCUCUUGAGUAGGAGUUGGAGCCUGGCAAGGAGUGCCCACUAUAGUUAGAUUUCUACUUAAUAUUUUGAGGGUUUGGGUGUAGUUUAGCAUCCUUUCUACCUACUCUUACCUGGUGUAUAUGUGUUUAUAGAUGUAGUAGUGUGCAGGACUGUACUAGAUACAUAUACUAUGUGUGUAUGACUGCUACCCCUACUAUCUGCUAUCUUUGAUUAUGAUAUAAUGUUUUGUUUGAUAAUAUGAAAAACUA